rnacentral:rRNA from 1 species
GCACAAUGGGCGCAAGCCUGAUGCAGCCAUGCCGCGUGUAUGAAGAAGGACCUUCGGGUUGUAAAGUACUUUCAGCAGUGAGGAAGGUGGAUAUGUUAAUAGCAUAUUCAUUUGACGUUAGCUGCAGAAGAAGCACCGGCUAACUCCGUGCCAGCAGCCGCGGUAAUACGGAGGGUGCGAGCGUUAAUCGGAAUUACUGGGCGUAAAGCGCAUGCAGGUGGUUUGUUAAGUCAGAUGUGAAAGCCCGGGGCUCAACCUCGGAAUUGCAUUUGAAACUGGCAAACUAGAGUACUGUAGAGGGGGUAGAAUUUCAGGUGUAGCGGUGAAAAUGCGUAGAGAUCUGAAGGAAUACCGGUGGCGAAGGCGGCCCCCUGGACAGAUACUGACACUCAGAUGCGAAAGCGUGGGGAGCAAACAGGAUUAGAUACCCCGGUAG